rnacentral:rRNA from 1 species
UACGAAGGGGGGCUAGCGUUGCUCGGAAUCACUGGGCGUAAAGCGCACGUAGGCGGCUUCUUAAGUCAGGGGUGAAAUCCUGGAGCUCAACUCCAGAACUGCCUUUGAUACUGGCGAUCUCGAGUCCGGGAGAGGUGAGUGGAACUGCGAGUGUAGAGGUGAAAUUCGUAGAUAUUCGCAAGAACACCAGUGGCGAAGGCGGCUCACUGGCCCGGUACUGACGCUGAGGUGCGAAAGCGUGGGGAGCAAACAGGG